UUUUCAUUAAGCCGGAAAUCAAAAAUCCAUUGUAUAACCAAUUUUUCUUUUCGGCAACACUUGGAAGCGCCGACACUUGCCGAAAUUUUGGUCUUGACACAAAAACUUUUGGUUUCUGGGAAAUUUUUUUUUUUUUUUGCUAAGUCCUUUUUUCCCAUUCUCCAUCCAUCGACAGAACUCCCCGACAUCCAUCUUCUUCUUCUUCCUCCGUCAAAUUUGAGAAACUGGGUCUCACUUCUUCUCUCAGGAGACUAGUAGUUCAAACCUCGCUAAAGGAGAAAACCCAAGAUGUCAAUAGCUCUCAAAGGUUGUUGCCGGAAUGGGAAGCGUUUCCAAGUCCGUUAGUCUCGUAACUCGCCGUACGUCCGCCGGUCUGGCAACCCGAUGAUGUCAAUAAACCAGAUGCUUCCCGGUCCGUUUUAUUCCACGAGUGUUAGAGCCGUAUGUCCGCCGAUCUAGGUUUUCUUGCCUCCGCGCCGCCUCGGCCUCCCUCUGGUGUUGGUGACAAGGAGGUUACUGAGCCUUACUCUGCCUGCGCGGUUUGAAGGAAGUCUUCGGGGAGAAAAAGGAGUAAAAACUCUUCUUCCUCUAAGAAAAAGAUUCAUCUGUUAUCUCUUCCUUGACUGCUUCUCAAAGGUUCGAUGGUGCAUUGAACGUGGAUGAAAUCUCCGCAGAGAAAGCCUUCCACGAGCAAUGAGGAGCUUAAUAUGUUGCUGUAUUUCAUCAGGAUUAGUGACAAGUAUUUCAAGAUCAACUCUAGCAGAGGAUGAGCUCGUUAAAGUGUUGGCAAGUAUACGCUUCACUCCCAUUCUCUUGUGAAUCAUUCUCUUCUAUGGAGUUUUUAGUUUCAGUCAUGGGUUCAGAAUUAUGCUAAGGUUGCCUUUAGCGACGAGUUGGAGAUGCAGUUGUGGAGUCGGAGAUGCAUCGGCAUUGAGACAGGUCCAGGAUGGAGUGAGAUGCAGUACUCGAUGCAGAGGAGCUCGUGAAUAUUUUUAAUGGAGAAGCUAUUGGGUGUAUAUGUUUGUCUCUGAGAUUUGAGCUUGUGUUCCUACUUUGUCUUUGUGUCUUGUUUUUACUAGUAUUAAAGUUAGUUUAACUUGUUCUUUGAUUUUGUUUAUGACUAGAUUUGAUGGUUACAUGUUCUCUAAUGGAGUUCAUGUGUUUCGUGUACUGAUUUUGUAUGUUUUAUAAAUUUAAUGAAAAUAUAAUUAUGAGUCUAAA